rnacentral:sRNA from 1 species
AAAAUUAACUACUAGAAUGACGUCUAACGAUAACCAAAUUU